rnacentral:misc_RNA from 1 species
GUUUUGCAGCAUAUUCAUCCUGAGGUUGUUCUUCUGCAAAUCUGAAUUCCAUGUUUCCGAUAUCCUGUAGUUCCUUAAAUAUCCAUUCUUGCGGUGAAAGUUGAUAUAGUAACUUAAGGUAUUGAUAAAUGACGCCAAUGAUUUCAAAAAUCUGCCAAAAAAAUAUAUCAAGAGCAUGAUAAGAUUAGUAAAGCAAGCUAAAAAUAAAAGAUCUUGUUCAUCAAUAAACAAUCAUCACAGUCAAAUCGCCAGAUAGGGCAUUGCCACUACCAAGAGUUAUAAGUGAUCAUAAAUAAUAGACCAUGCAUUGGUGAGGGCAUCAAAGUGACAACACAGUCAAACAUAUGCAGUUUCAUUUACCUUCUUUCAAGAAAACAUGAAAACAAGAGGAAGAGGUAAAAUCAAAGAAGUGGACAGGAAGGAGAAAUCAAUAUUUGAUGAAAGUAGACAUGUGGUGGGUGUGUGAAUAGGAAUGCGUAUAAAGUUCUUCAAUGCUCUCUGAGUCUAUCAACUAAGCAGUCUAGAACUUUCCAUUGAUAAGAGAGACCAUAGCAGUUGAUAUAUGAUACUCCCUACAAGUCUCAUGACUAAUAAAAACAUCUUGAGAUGAGCACAUAAUUAACUUGCAUCAAUUACAUCACCUGAAAUUCCUCAAAGGAAACAAAAUCUUAUAUAGAGUUGGUCUUCAAGAGAACAAGGACUAUGCCACACAGAAACAAACUCAAUAUUUAGGAAAUGUAACUGUCUUCUAAUAUCCAACAGAUAAGUAGAACGGAAAACAUAGUAC